rnacentral:rRNA from 1 species
AGAAGGAUACAAGAGCGAACGGUGGAUGCCUAGGCUUCUGGAGGCGACGAAGGACGCGGUAAGCUGCGAAAAUCUCCGGGAAACAGCAAACAUGUAAUGAUCCGGAGGUGUCCGAAUGGGGCAACCCGGCUGGCUGAAGGCCAGUCACCGCAGAUAUGCGGGGCGAACGCGGGGAACUGAAACAUCUCAGUACCCGCAGGAAGAGAAAGAAAUUAUCGAUUCCCUGAGUAGUGGCGAUCGAAAGGGGAAGAGCCCAAACCGGCUGCGUUACGGCGCGGUCGGGGUUGUAGGGCCGCCAACAAGAGUUCAUGACGUGAACUGGAACCGUCUGGAAAGUCGGUCCGCAGAGGGUGACAGACCCGUACAGGCAAGCGUCAUGCGCCGGAGGCGGUACCUGAGUAGGGCGGGACACGUGCAAUCCUGUCCGAAUCCGCGGGGACCAUCCCGCAAGGCUAAAUACUCCCGGAAGACCGAUAGUGAACCAGUACCGUGAGGGAAAGGUGGGAAGUACCCCGAGCAGGGGAGUGAAAUAGACCCUGAAACCGUUCGUUUACAAGCGGUCGGAGCUCUUAUAUGGAGCGACGGCGUGCCUUUUGCAUAAUGAGCCUACGAGUUGCCUCCGUCCGGCGAGGUUAAGCGCUUAAGGCGCGUGAGCCGAAGCGAGAGCGAGUCUGAACAGGGCGUUCAGUCGGUCGGAGCAGACGCGAAACCUAGUGAUCUACCCAUGGCCAGGGUGAAGUCGCCGUAACAGGCGAUGGAGGCCCGAACCGGUUUACGUUGAAAAGUGCUCGGAUGAGCUGUGGGUAGGGGUGAAAGGCUAAUCAAACUGGGAGAUAGCUCGUACUCCCCGAAAUGUCUUUAGGGACAGCCUCGUCUUAGCUUCACGGAGGUAGAGCUACUGAUAGGAUGCGAGGGCUUCAUCGCCUAUCAAUUCCUGACAAACUCCGAAUGCCGUGAAGUGUUGGACGGGAGUGAGUCGUCGGGUGCUAAUGUCCGGCGGCGAGAGGGAAAGAGCCCAGACCUCCUGCUAAGGCCCCCAAGAGCGGUUUAAGUUGACAGAACGAGGUGACAUCGCAGAGACAGCUAGGAUGUUAGCUUGGAAGCAGCUAUUCAUUUAAAGAGUGCGUAACAGCUCACUAGUCGAGCGAUGACGCGUGGAUGAUGAACGGGCAUCAAGACCGCCGCCGAAGCAGAGGACUCUUUUUAAGAGUGGUAGGGGAGCAUUCCGGUCGGCGCCGAAGGUGUGGCGUGAGCCAUGCUGGAGCGUCCGGAAAAGAAAAUGUAGGCAUGAGUAACGACAACGCAUGUAUGACCAUGCGCACCGCAAGCCCCAGGUUUCCUGGACAACGCCAGACGUACCAGGGUUAGUCGGGAGCUAAGGUUAACCCGAGAGGGGAUACCGAUGACGAUGCGGUUAAUAUUCCGCAACCCGCCGUGCAGGCGAGGACAUGACCGAGGAGUGGCACUGCCGCCCCCUGACGGAAUAGGGGGUUUAAGGACGUAGGGCGACUGAAAUCCGAAAGUACGGGGAUCCUUCGGGAGACCCGACAGCGCAGGUAAUCAUACUCGCAAGAAAAGUGUCCGAGCGUCAAGCGCACGGGGGCCCGUACCGUAAACCGACACAGGUGGGCGAGGAGAGUAUCCUAAGGUGCUCGAGUGAAUCACGGCUAAGGAACUAGGCAAAUUGACCCCGUAACUUCGGGAUAAGGGGACCCCGCGAGGGGCGCAGAGAAAUGGCCCAGGCGACUGUUUACCAAAAACACAUGGCUAUGCGAAAUCGUAAGAUGACGAAUAUGGCCUGACACCUGCCCGGUGCCGGAAGGUUAAGAGGGGGAGUCAUCGCAAGAGAAGCUCUGAAUUGAAGCCCCGGUAAACGGCGGCCGUAACUAUAACGGUCCUAAGGUAGCGAAAUUCCUUGUCGGGU